AACUCUCACAUCCAUACAUGACUACUGGAAAAAACACAGCUUUGACUACACAGACCUUUUUUAUCCAUGGAGACUUGGCAAAUCCCAGAGCCUCUGGACAAACAGAAAUCAAUCAGAAAUAUUCCCAGUCCACUGAUGCAGAACAUUUCAGGGCUGUUUGGAAACCAGGAAUCACCAGAGAAUCCAACACUCAGGAUGCCAGAAUCCAGAGAGGUGCCAGCACCAACCAAAGCAGACCAGCAGCUGGCAGGUGGCACCAGCGCCCAGUCUCAGCGUCCAGCAAGAGCUCUUCUUCCAGCUGCUUGUGCUCAGGGCUCAGCUGCCCCUUCUCCCUGGGUAGUCCCAACACUGUGUCACCCUAAGUUGUACAGAACCUCUGAAAUAUGCCUGAAUUAUGGUGCCUAGGCAGCGGUCAAGGUCUUGGUCUUGGUUUCACUUCUUGAUUUUUUUUUGCUGACUCUUU